GUAUGAAUGGGCAGAGAAAACAGCUGAGCAGAGCGUUGGCAAUUUUACAGAAAGUCUUUCUAUUUCGGGCCAACUCUUUUUUGAACCUUCACUCGUGUUAUAAUCAUCAUCAGGUGAACGUUUAACGUGCUAAAUGUCAUUACUUCGUUGAAUAAUAAUUGUGUCUUACGUCAAUGUUGAAAACGCAAAUUCAUUUUUGAUGUAUGAGUGAUUUGGUUUGAAGGUCAUAAACCAUUGAUGUAGAAUUUUUCAGUGAUU